rnacentral:rRNA from 1 species
CUUGCUGGGUGGAUUAGUGGCGAACGGGUGAGUAACACGUGGGUGAUCUGCCCUGCACUUCGGGAUAAGCCUGGGAAACUGGGUCUAAUACCGGAUAUGACCAAAGGCUGCAUGGUUUUUGGUGGAAAGUUUUUCGGUGCAGGAUGAGCCCGCGGCCUAUCAGCUUGUUGGUGGGGUAAUGGCCUACCAAGGCGACGACGGGUAGCCGGCCUGAGAGGGCGACCGGCCACACUGGGACUGAGACACGGCCCAGACUCCUACGGGAGGCAGCAGUGGGGAAUAUUGCACAAUGGGCGAAAGCCUGAUGCAGCGACGCCGCGUGAGGGAUGACGGCCUUCGGGUUGUAAACCUCUUUCAGCAGGGACGAAGCGAAAGUGACGGUACCUGCAGAAGAAGCACCGGCCAACUACGUGCCAGCAGCCGCGGUAAUACGUAGGGUGCGAGCGUUGUCCGGAAUUACUGGGCGUAAAGAGCUCGUAGGCGGUUUGUCGCGUCGUCUGUGAAAUCCCGCAGCUCAACUGCGGGCUUGCAGGCGAUACGGGCAAACUUGAGUACUGCAGGGGAGACUGGAAUUCCUGGUGUAGCGGUGAAAUGCGCAGAUAUCAGGAGGAACACCGGUGGCGAAGGCGGGUCUCUGGGCAGUAACUGACGCUGAGGAGCGAAAGCGUGGGUAGCGAACAGGAUUAGAUACCCUGGUAGUCCACGCCGUAAACGGUGGGCGCUAGGUGUGGGUUUCCUUCCACGGGAUCCGUGCCGUAGCUAACGCAUUAAGCGCCCCGCCUGGGGAGUACGGCCGCAAGGCUAAAACUCAAAGGAAUUGACGGGGCCCGCACAAGCGGCGGAGCAUGUGGAUUAAUUCGAUGCAACGCGAAGAACCUUACCUGGGUUU